rnacentral:rRNA from 1 species
UUUUUAAAACAUGGUUUUUUGUUUAUAUAAAAGAUCUGGCCUGCCCCAUGAUAUAAUUAAAUGGCUGCAGUAUUUUGACUGUACAAAGGUAGCAUAAUCAUUUGUUUCUUAAUUGGAGACUGGUAUGAAUGGUUGGAUGAAAAAUUAACUUUCUUAUUUUUAUAAAAUGAAAUUAAUUUUUGUGUUAAAAAGCACAAAUGAUUGCGAAGGACGAGAAGACCCUAUAGAAUUUUAUUUAUUUAUUUGUACCUUUUUUGUGGUUUAUUGAAAAAGGUAUCUUUAAAAAAAUUAUGUUGGGGUGACAGAAAAAAUAUCAUAACUUUUUUUUAAUAUAUCAUAUAUGCAUGAAAAUAUGACCCUGUAUUAUGGGUUAUAAGAUUAAAUUACCUUAGGGAUAACAGCGUUAUUUUUUUGGAGAGUACUUAUCGAUAAAAAAGUUUGCGACCUCGAUGUUGGAUUAAAAUAAGAAGCAGGGGUAGAAUAUUGCUUUUCUAGGUCUGUUCGACCUAUAAAUUUUUACAUGAUCUAAUUUCCAAC